rnacentral:rRNA from 1 species
AUUGAACGCUGGCAGCAGGCCUAACACAUGCAAGUCGAGCGGAGCGGCGGACGGGUGAGUAAUGCCUAGGAAUCAGCCUGGUCGUGGGGGAUAACGGCCGGUAACGGGCGCUAAUACCGCACACUAUCACACUCGUCUAGGUCGGAUUAGCUAGUUGGUGGGGUAAAGGCCUACCAGGGCGACGAUCCGUAACUGGCCUGAGAGGAUGAUCAGUCACACUGAAACUGAGACACGGUCCAGACUCCUACGGGAGGCAGCAGGGGAGAAUAUUGGACAAUGGGCGAAAGCCUGAUCCAGCCAUGCCGCGUGUGUGAAGAAGGCCUUCGGGUUGUAAAGUACUUUCAGCGGGGAGGCGUUACCCGCAGAAGAAGCACCGGCUAACUCCGUGCCAGCAGCCGCGGUAAUUC